GCUCCCUUAUACAUUUAAAUAAUGUGUGACGUCAGUGAGUGACAACACAGGCAUCACCCGAAAUGUGCCUGCUGGUCAGCUUAGAUCGAUAUUGACGGAAUUGCUCCACUGCACAUGCGCACAGACCUUUCUGCUUUUAUUUUGGCUUCCUCAGAAAAAGGCUGAAUCUGACUUUAGUAAGUUACAGGGAUUUCUCUGUCAUCAUAUUAUUAUGUGAUGUUUAAGUGAUGUCAGCUUAGAGGUGUAUCUCCAGCUCUUAGCUUUCAGUGCAGCUCAGUAGUUAGACAAACAUGGCACACCUGGCACACUUGUGUCUCUUCAGCCUUGUAUAGAAACUUUUCUCUGACCUGACCCUCCCCCAUAGGUAUGUUACAGUUGUAAUAAGUUAUGAUAGAUAAGGUUUAUUAAGAAUGAUAUGAUUCUGUAUUUUAAAAUCUAAUGUCUUCCUUCCAUCAUAUUAGUAAUACUGCAGCUAUUACUACCGUUUAUUGUCUGUAUGUGUAUGUUACAAACACCCACACAAAAAGUUAUUUUAGGAUUUAGCUGCCUUGAAUAAAUGCAAAAUAUCAGGAAGGGAAAACGAGAAAUUGUCUUUGAUGGCAUUUGACAAAGGCGGACACCUGUGUAGAAAUUGACUGAUGGUAGUAGGCGACAGCAGUCACGUCUGUCUGUCCGCUUGUCAUGUAAUUUCUAUAUAGGCAUCAUGGAACAUACGUGCACAGCCCAACAGGUAGCUGUUACCAGCUAAUCUUCCAGCUACCUUUUUCAAGUUGUAACAUUUUUACCAAUCCAUUUACAUUAAAUCUUCAUGUUAUUUGCCUGCAGAACUAUAGAUGGCUUCACUAAGCAACAGAAAAUUCUCUAAACAGGAUAGAGCAUGCUGUCAAGGGCAUGGACGAGACAGCUGUAUGUAGUAUAAGUUUUGGCACAGUAACCUUAAUGAGUAUGUACUCCUACCUGCAUUCUGUUAUGGUUUUUGUUGAAUUAUGAAGAAUAAAUCUACUUCUUGUGCACUUCCACAGCGUCAGAACACUGUGAAGCUUUAUUUAAUGUACCAUCUGCUUGUCUUCUGUGUAUUUACAUCAGGCCGAAGGGUCUUCACCAAAACUCCAGGAGGAAAGAGGAAAGAAACACGACUUGUUACAGACAAACUUGAUAAACCGCAGUGACACUGUACCAAUACUCCAAACAUAGAGGCCUGCCAGAUGCCUAAUCAACAAAAGGCUGGUAAGAACUACUCACAAACACAAUGAUCGCUUCUGUCCUUGCUUGCUUUCACUGUUCUCUUUCAUGGGUUACAGACAUCCCCGAUGAUGAGCUGAUGGGCAUACAAAUAGAAGACAUCACAAACCAAAAAACACCACCUACGCCUGUAAAAGACGGCUCCUCCACCACUUUAGAAAAAGAAGAAAAUUAACUGCAUUUCUUACAUUCAAUUCCAUAUCUGCACAAGCGCUUCUCUACUUUGAUCUUUAGUUAAUAUUUAGUGUGCUAUUUUAUUUGCUUUCUUUGUGAAUGUUUUUUUUUUCUUUAAGACUCAUUGUCAGUUAUUUCCUUACAUUUUGAUGAAAACAUUUAAACAUUGUUUCUUAAUAAAAAAAAAAAUCUACAUACUACCAUUUUGACUGCCUACAAAUCAUUUCCCUACACUCAAUUGACACAGCUUCUUCUAUGGACAAUAACUGCCUCACACAUAAUAUCUCAUCAAUAUAUACAUACAUACAGCUUUCUCUUACAGCCAACAAUCACACAAUCAACUCAACUCAAACAACCACAUACUUUCAUUUCUCUGCGUGUUACAGUUAGCA
rnacentral:lncRNA from 1 species